CUCAGGUGAUUGGCCACGUAGCCUGGACUGAGCAGCUGACUCCACUUCGUCAUCAUCUCACCCUGACAGUAAAAAGCCGGUCGUCACAUCCACUCUUCGCCGGAUUGUUGUUCAAACUACUCACAUCUCAACUGCUCGGAACCCACGCACUACCAGCCUGAAUCACCGCCAAGAGGAUACCACCGCCAGGACCAAGCCCAAAACCGCCGCUUGACCCACAGCCAAGAGAAUACCACAGCCAAGACCAAACCCAGAGCCCCAGCUCAACCCACAGCCACAAGGAAACUACGGUCCGCAGUCGGAACCGCAGCCAAGAUAAUACCACAGCCAAGACCAGGUCCCGAAUCUCAGCCCGAUCCAUCGCCAAUAGAAAUCCCAUCACAGAACCCCAGUCCAAGACCCAGGCCUAGAGGUCCAGCCUUCCAUCCCCAGAAUCAUCUUUCCUCCCUCACAAUAAAACCUAUAAAUCAC